CACGUAGUUAGCCGGUGCUUCUUCUGCUCCUACCGUCACAAAAGCUUCGUCAGAGCUGAAAGCGGUUUACAACCCGAAGGCCGUCAUCCCGCACGCGGCGUCGCUGCAUCAGGCUUUCGCCCAUUGUGCAAUAUUCCCCACUGCUGCCUCCCGUAGGAGUCUGGGCCGUGUCUCAGUCCCAGUGUGGCCGGUCACCCUCUCAGGCCGGCUACCCGUCGUCGCCUUGGUAGGCCAUUACCCCACCAACAAGCUGAUAGGCCGCGAGUCCAUCCACCACCGAUAAAUCUUUCCACCCCAACCCAUGCGGGCCAAGGUCAUAUCCAGUAUUAGCACCGGUUUCCCGGAGUUAUCCCAGAGUGGAGGGCAGGUUACUCACGUGUUACUCACCCGUUCGCCACUAAUCCACCCAGCAAGCUGGGCUUCAUCGUUCGACUUGCAUGUGUUAAGCACGCCGCCAGCGUUCGUCCUGAGCCAGGAUCAAACUCU
rnacentral:rRNA from 1 species